AUUGAACGCUGGCGGCAGGCCUAACACAUGCAAGUCGAACAGUGGCGGACGGGUGAGUAACGCGUAGGUAACUACCUAUUAGAGGGGGAUAACUAUUGGAAACGAUAGCUAAUACCGCAUACUAGUAGAUGGACCUGCGUUGUAUUAGCUAGUAGGUAGGGUAAUGGCCUACCUAGGCAACGAUACAUAGCCGACCUGAGAGGGUGAUCGGCCAAAAUGGGACUGAGACACGGCCCAGAAUCCUAAGGGAGGCAGCAGUAGGGAAUCGUCGGCAAUGGGGGGAACCCUGAACGAGCAAAGCCGCGUGAGUGAAGAAGGGUUUCGGAUCGUAAAGCUAUGUUGUUAAGGAAGCGGUACUUAACCAGAAAGGGACGGCUAACUACGUGCCAGCAGCCGCGGUAAUUC
rnacentral:rRNA from 1 species